AUGGGCCGCCAAGCUAGUGUUGCACGAAAUGACCUCGAGCAUAUGCUAUCUCAUGAAAACGAGCUGCCAAAGGCCUGGCCAUUAUCACUUUUGGAAGACAUUACGGAUGGUUUCUCUAAGAACCAUCAAAUUGGCAGCGGUGGGUUUGCAGUGGUUUACAAGGGAAUGCUUGAAAAUGGGACUGUUGCUGUGAAGAAGUUGCUUGAAAGUCUUGAUAUUCCUGAUAAUAAAUUCAAUGAAGAAAUUCAUUGUUUGAUGAGGGUAAAGCACAACAACAUAGUCCGGUUUUUGGGAUAUUGUGCUAACAUACAAGGCCAAAUGGAAAACUACAAUGGAGAUUUUGUCAUGGCAGAUAUACAUCAAAGGUUGCUUUGCUUUGCUUUGAGUAUGUACCUAAAGGAAGUCUUCAUGAGUAUAUCAAAGAUACAUCUUCUAGACUUGACUGGAUAA
rnacentral:rRNA from 1 species